rnacentral:lncRNA from 1 species
CUCCUCCUUUAUCCGGGCUUGGGACCGGCAAUGUAAAAUUACAUAGGCGGAGUUAGUGAAAAAUAUAGUAGUGAGGCAAAAAAAUAUUAUUAAAAUAGGGUUCCACCCUCAAGGAUAUUUUAUUAACGGAAAAUAUUACUUUAAUUUUCAAAUUUCACAGUGAGGCGAAGGUGAAAAUAAAUAGUUUGAAGGACGAGUUAUGUACGAAUUUGUAAAAACCGACAAAAAACCACGAUUUUUGUUAAAAAUGCAAAUUUUUUAUUUUCGAGAAAUAUUUUUCGUGAGCAUUAAGGAAAAUUUUAUAAGGCAUUUGGAAGUAGAUUUUCGAUUUAUUGAGCAACAAAUGUAUAUUUAGUAGACCAUUUUAGUCAAAAACUAAAUAAAUUAGUGAAAAAUAUAGUAGUGAGGCCCAAAACAUUGCCCUCAACAAUAUUAACAGAAAGUGAUACUUUAAUUUUCUAACUUCACGGUGAGGCGAAGGUGAAAAUAAAUAGUUAGACUGGCGAUUUAUAUACGAAUUUGUAAAUACCGACUAAAAAUUAUGAGUGUUAACCCAUAUUUUUUUUGUCACAAAUGCAAUUUUUUUUAUUUUCGCGAAAUAUUUUGUGCAAGCAUUAAGAAAAAUUUACAAGGCAUUUGGAAGCAGAUUUACUAUUUAUUGAGUAACAAAUGUAUAUUUAGUAGACUAUUUAAGUCGAAAACAAAAAAAAAUAAGGGAAAAAUAUAGUUAGUGAGGCCCAAAACAUUGUUAAAAUUGGGUUCCACCCACAAGAAUAUAACGCAAAGUAUUACUAUAAUUUUCAAACUUCACGGUGAGGCAAAGGUGAAAAUAAAUAGUUUGUACGACAAUUUAUGUACGAAUUUGUAAAAACUGACUAAAACCCAUCAGUGUUUACCCACGUUUUUUUUGUCAAAAAUGCACAUUUUUUAUUUUCAUGAAAUGUUUUUUGUGAGCAUUAAGGUAAAAUUUAUAAGGGAUUUGGGAGCGGAUUUACGAUUUAUUGAGCAACAAAUGUAUAUUUAGUUGAGUAUUUAAGUCGAAAACUUAAAAAAUAAGUGAAAAAUAUAGUUGUGAGGCCCAAAACAUUGUUAAAAUAAGGUUCCACCCUCAAGAAUAUUAACGGAAAGUAUUACUUUAAUUUUCAAACUUAACGGUGAGGCAAAUGUGAAAAUAAAUAGUUUGAACGACGAUUUAUGUACGAAUUUGUAAAAACUGACAAAAAACCGUGAAUGUAACACCCACGUUUUUUGUCAAAAAGGCAAAUUUUUUAUUUUCACGAAAUAUUUUCCAUGAGCAUUAAGGAAAAUUUAUAAGGAAUUUGGAAGUGGAUUUACUAUUUAUUGAGUAACAAAUGUAUAUUUAGUAGACUAUUUAUGUCGAAAACUAAAAAAAUAAGUGAAAAAUAUAGUAGUGAGGCCCAAAACAUUGUUAAAAUUGGGAUCCACCCUCAAGAGUAUAACAAAAAGUAUUACUAUAAUUUUUAAACUUCACAGUGAGGUGAAUGUGAAAAUAAAUAGUUUGAACAACGAUUUAUGUACGAAUUUGUAAAAACUGACUAAAAACCGAGA